CGGCGGAUCACGGCUUAGAAAGAAGGCAGGCGGAAGAGAAGCCUGAUCUGUGUGAUGAAAAACUAACACCUCCGAUUUUAACUUGCCAGCCUUUCACCUUAUAUCAGCACCUCGUUUUAAUGCAGUAUUUUUUGUGGUCAGUGCUUCUGGGGUGAAGGUGGAAGCUGAAUUAGUGAGGAUGACUCCUGCUCCUGUCAUCUCUAAGCUCCUCACACAUCUUUACCUGCACAUGAGGAAAAUCACUCCUGUAGAAUGCAGAUGUUCAGAGGGAGAUGAUGCCACAUCUGGUCCAGCUGAUGGAAGGUCUUGAAGUUCUCUGACUGGCCUCGACUGAAGAUGGUCGUCUCACUGGAUUUAAGGUUCAGAUGCUCAGUAACAAACUCCACCAAUGAGCCAACAGGGAAGCUUUAGGUUUAUUAAAUGUUGCUAUGAAGGUAUCACUGUUUUAUUUUGUGAAUGCAAUGUGCUCCAACUGAAACUUGAAUUAGAACUUAGAAGUAAAUCCUUCCAUCUGAAAGGAUUUAGUUGCAUUAAUAACCUCAUAACAUUCAAAUUUUUAUUCCAGUCUUGGUUGGAAAUAGAAUCUCUGUAUUGAUUCAGGUAAGAACUGAACUUCACAGCAUGUUGGAGCAAAACAACCAGAUGAAAACUGUGAUGGUGUUGGAUUGUCAGACUGUAAUGUUGCAGCUCAAAGCAGCUUUUCUAGCUCAGUUCAUUCUGACAUUCAGCUAUGAAUCAACACAGCAGAUGGUGAUCCAUGCUGUGGAAGUCUCACAUCUCCUGAUUUAAUGGAGCUGCUUGGCACUUUUUACACUGUUUAUUCACCAACAC
ensembl:lncRNA